rnacentral:pre_miRNA from 7 species
GUCUAGGACCUCUGGGUGGUCGCGCUGUUUCCCGGCCAACGCACCAAAUGAAAGACCCCCGAAGGGAGACCCUCCCUCAGACACUUAAGUCCCGGGACAGCCGCGUACCCAAGAAGACACUGAGACCA